ensembl:snRNA U6 U6 spliceosomal RNA
GUGCUGACUUCAGCUGCACAGAUACUAACGCUGAAAUGACACAGAGAUUAGCCUGGCCCCUGUGGAAGGAUGACACGCAAAUUCCUGACGCGGUCCGUAUUUUU